rnacentral:rRNA from 1 species
GGGCCCGCACAAGCAGUGGAGUAUGUGGUUUAAUUCGACGCAACGCGAAGAACCUUACCGGGGCUUGACAUGGCUCAGAAGUCGGCAGAGAUGUCGGUGCCUUUCGGGGCUGGGUCACAGGUGGUGCAUGGUUGUCGUCAGCUCGUGUCGUGAGAUGUUGGGUUAAGUCCCGCAACGAGCGCAACCCUUAUAAUCAGUUGCUACGAAAGAGCACUCUGAUAAGACUGCCGUUGACAAAACGGAGGAAGGUGGGGAUGACGUCAAAUCAUCAUGCCCUUUAUGUCCCGGGCAACACACGUACUACAAUGGCGUACACAAUGAGAAGCAAGGCGGCAACGCGGAGCAAAUCUCAAAAAUGCGCCUCAGUUCGGAUUGCAGGCUGCAACUCGCCUGUAUGAAGUUGGAAUUGCUAGUAAUCGUGAAUCAGCAUGUCA